rnacentral:rRNA from 1 species
CCUACGGGUGGCUGCAGUGGGGAAUAUUGGACAAUGGGCGAAAGCCUGAUCCAGCCAUGCCGCGUGUGUGAAGAAGGCCUUCGGGUUGUAAAGCACUUUCAGUGGGGAAGAAAGCCUUGGGGCUAAUACCCUCGAGGAAGGACAUCACCCACAGAAGAAGCACCGGCUAACUCCGUGCCAGCAGCCGCGGUAAUACGGAGGGUGCGAGCGUUAAUCGGAAUUACUGGGCGUAAAGCGCGCGUAGGCGGUCUGAUAAGCCGGUUGUGAAAGCCCCGGGCUCAACCUGGGAACGGCAUCCGGAACUGUCAGGCUAGAGUGCAGGAGAGGAAGGUAGAAUUCCCGGUGUAGCGGUGAAAUGCGUAGAGAUCGGGAAGAAUACCAGUGGCGAAGGCGGCCUUCUGGACUGACACUGACGCUGAGGUGCGAAAGCGUGGGUAGCAAACAGGAUUAGAUACCCCGGUAGUC